rnacentral:rRNA from 1 species
CACGUAGGGCGCAAGCGUUGUCCGGAAUUAUUGGGCGUAAAGAGCUCGUAGGCGGACUGUCACGUCUGCUGUGAAAAGCUGGGGCUUAACCCUGGCCUUGCAGUGGAUACGGGCAGACUAGAGGUAGGUAGGGGAGAAUGGAAUUCCCGGUGUAGCGGUGAAAUGCGCAGAUAUCGGGAGGAACACCCGUAGCGAAGGCGGCACUCUGGGCCGGAACUGACGCUGAGGAGCGAAAGCGUGGGGAGCAAACAGG